rnacentral:tRNA from 1 species
GCCCCUAUAGCUCAGUGGUAGAGCGCCAGUCUUGUAAACUGGAGGUCUGUAGUUCGAUCCUG